rnacentral:misc_RNA from 1 species
GAAAUGCGAUAAGUAAUGUGAAUUGCAGAAUUCAGUGAAUCAUCGAAUCUUUGAACGCACAUUGCGCCCGCCAGUAUUCUGGCGGGCAUGCCUGUUCGAGCGUCAUUUCAACCAUCAAGCCCCGCGCUUGUGUUGGGGACCUGCGGCUGCCGCAGGCCCUGAAAACCAGUGGCGGGCUCGCUGUCACACCGGGCGUGGUAGAUUUUAACUCGCUCAGGGCGUGCUGCGGGUUCCGGCCGUUAAAAAGCCUUUUUUACCCAAGGUUGACCUCGGAUCAGGUAGGAAGACCCGCUGAACUUAAGC